AGUCCAUGAUGGGGACAUAACCUAAAUAAUUCUUUAAAUCUAUCCCAGGCGUCACAUAAAGACCCUCUCUUCCUUUUGAGUGAAAUUAGUGAUCUGAUUCCGAAGCU